AGUCAUAUGCUUGUCUCAAAGAUUAAGCCAUGCAUGUCUCAGUACAAGCCAUAUUAAGGUGAAACCGCGAAAGGCUCAUUAAAUCAGUUAUGGUUCCUUAGAUUGUACCCACAUUUACUUGGAUAACUGUGGUAAUUCUAGAGCUAAUACAUGCAAACAGAGCUCCAACCAGAGAUGGAAGGAGUGCUUUUAUUAGAUCAAAACCAAUCGGCGGCAAUAAAGUUUCGGCUUUAUUGUUUGUCGCAUUUUUUGGUGAUUCUGAAUAACUUUUGGCUGAUCGCACGGUCUAGCACCGGCGACGCAUCUUUCAAAUGUCUGCCUUAUCAACUGUCGAUGGUAGGUUCUGCGCCUACCAUGGUUGUAACGGGUAACGGGGAAUUAGGGUUCGAUUCCGGAGAGGGAGCCUGAGAAACGGCUACCACAUCCAAGGAAGGCAGCAGGCGCGCAAAUUACCCACUCCCGGCACGGGGAGGUAGUGACGAAAAAUAACGAUACGGGACUCAUCCGAGGCCCCGUAAUCGGAAUGAGUACACUUUAAAUCCUUUAACAAGGACCAAUUGAAGGGAAAGUCUGGUGCCAGCAGCCGCGGUAAUUCCAGCUUCAAUAGCGUAUAUUAAAGUUGUUGCGGUUAAAAAGCUCGUAGUUGAAUUUGUGUCCCGCGCUGUCGGUUCACCGCCCGCGGUGUUUAACUGGCACGUCUCGCGGGACGUCCUGCCGGUGGAUGUGUACAUUCAUUCCACUUCCUAUAUGUUGUAUUACAUUUCGGUGUUUAUAUUAACAUAUUGUGUAUGGGGUUUGUUAUGUUACCAUCCGACUAAUUAAUCCUGUCGCGGUGCUCUUAAUUGAGUGUCGAGGCGGGCCGGCACAUUUACUUUGAACAAAUUAGAGUGCUCAAAGCAGGCUAAAAUUUUGCCUGAAUAUCUUGUGCAUGGAAUAAUGGAAGAGGACCUCGGUUCUAUUUUGUUGGUUUUAGGAACCCCGAGGUAAUGAUUAAUAGGGACAGAUGGGGGCAUUCGUAUUGCGACGUUAGAGGUGAAAUUCUUGGAUCGUCGCAAGACGGACAGAAGCGAAAGCAUUUGCCAAAAAUGUUUUCAUUAAUCAAGAACGAAAGUCAGAGGUUCGAAGGCGAUCAGAUACCGCCCUAGUUCUGACCAUAAACGAUGCCAGCUAGCGAUCCGCCGACGUUCCUCCGAUGACUCGGCGGGCAGCUUCCGGGAAACCAAAGCUUUUGGGUUCCGGGGGAAGUAUGGUUGCAAAGCUGAAACUUAAAGGAAUUGACGGAAGGGCACCACAAGGAGUGGAGCCUGCGGCUUAAUUUGACUCAACACGGGAAACCUCACCAGGCCCGGACACCGGAAGGAUUGACAGAUUGAGAGCUCUUUCUUGAUUCGGUGCAUGGUGGUGCAUGGCCGUUCUUAGUUGGUGGAGUGAUUUGUCUGGUUAAUUCCGAUAACGAGCGAGACUCUAGCCUGCUAACUAGGCGUAACUUACCAGUAUCCUGAAGGCUCGUGUCUUUUGUUUACUUUCAUAUAUUCGUUUCUGAGUUAUGGUAUUUUCAUUUUUAAUGUUAUAUUAUGGCUUGGUACAAUAUAUGUUAAGGGCAAAAGUUCACGGUUUUUACUACUGGCGUACAUAUAAAUCUUCUUAGAGGGACAGGCGGCUGCUAGCCGCACGAGAUUGAGCAAUAACAGGUCUGUGAUGCCCUUAGAUGUUCUGGGCCGCACGCGCGCUACACUGAAGGAAUCAGCGUGUCUUCCCUGGCCGAGCGGCCCGGGUAACCCGCUGAACCUCCUUCGUGCUAGGGAUUGGGGCUUGCAAUUGUUCCCCAUGAACGAGGAAUUCCCAGUAAGCGCGAGUCAUAAACUCGCGUUGAUUAAGUCCCUGCCCUUUGUACACACCGCCCGUCGCUAGUACCGAUUGAAUGAUUUAGUGAGGUCUUCGGACUGGUACGCGGUAACGUUUCGACGUCGCCGAUGUUGCUGGGAAGAUGACCAAACUUGAUUAUUUAGAGGAACUAA
rnacentral:rRNA from 1 species